rnacentral:rRNA from 1 species
CAGCCGCCGCGGGAAUACAGAGGGUGCGAGCGUUAAUCGGAUUUACUGGGCGUAAAGCGCGCGUAGGUGGUUUGUUAAGUUGGAUGUGAAAUCCCCGGGCUCAACCUGGGAACUGCAUCCAAAACUGGCAAGCUAGAGUAUGGUAGAGGGUGGUGGAAUUUCCUGUGUAGCGGUGAAAUGCGUAGAUAUAGGAAGGAACACCAGUGGCGAAGGCGACCACCUGGACUGAUACUGACACUGAGGUGCGAAAGCGUGGGGAGCAAACAGGAUUAGAUACCCGAGUAGUCCCUGUCUCUUAUAC